rnacentral:rRNA from 1 species
AGUGGACGCUGGCGGUAGGCCUAACACAUGCAAGUCGAACGGCAGCACAGUAAGAGCUUGCUCUUACGGGUGGCGAGUGGCGGACGGGUGAGGAAUACAUCGGAAUCUACUUUUUCGUGGGGGAUAACGUAGGGAAACUUACGCUAAUACCGCAUACGACCUACGGGUGAAAGCAGGGGAUCUUCGGACCUUGCGCGAUUGAAUGAGCCGAUGUCGGAUUAGCUAGUUGGCGGGGUAAAGGCCCACCAAGGCGACGAUCCGUAGCUGGUCUGAGAGGAUGAUCAGCCACACUGGAACUGAGACACGGUCCAGACUCCUACGGGAGGCAGCAGUGGGGAAUAUUGGACAAUGGGCGCAAGCCUGAUCCAGCCAUACCGCGUGGGUGAAGAAGGCCUUCGGGUUGUAAAGCCCUUUUGUUGGGAAAGAAAAGCAGCAGGUUAAUACCCCGCUGUUCUGACGGUACCCAAAGAAUAAGUACCGGCUAACUUCGUGC